UGCAAGUCGAGCGGGGAGAUGUAGCUUGCUACAUUUCCUAGCGGCGGACGGGUGAGUAAUGCUUAGGAAUCUGCCUAUUAGUGGGGGACAACAUUCCGAAAGGAAUGCUAAUACCGCAUACGCCCUACGGGGGAAAGCAGGGGAUCUUCGGACCUUGCGCUAAUAGAUGAGCCUAAGUCAGAUUAGCUAGUUGGUGGGGUAAAGGCUUACCAAGGCGACGAUCUGUAGCGGGUCUGAGAGGAUGAUCCGCCACACUGGGACUGAGACACGGCCCAGACUCCUACGGGAGGCAGCAGUGGGGAAUAUUGGACAAUGGGCGCAAGCCUGAUCCAGCCAUGCCGCGUGUGUGAAGAAGGCCUUUUGGUUGUAAAGCACUUUAAGCGAGGAGGAGGCUACUUAGAUUAAUACUCUAGGAUAGUGGACGUUACUCGCAGAAUAAGCACCGGCUAACUCUGUGCCAGCAGCCGCGGUAAUACAGAGGGUGCGAGCGUUAAUCGGAUUUACUGGGCGUAAAGCGUGCGUAGGCGGCUUCUUAAGUCGGAUGUGAAAUCCCUGAGCUUAACUUAGGAAUUGCAUUCGAUACUGGGAAGCUAGAGUAUGGGAGAGGAUGGUAGAAUUCCAGGUGUAGCGGUGAAAUGCGUAGAGAUCUGGAGGAAUACCGAUGGCGAAGGCAGCCAUCUGGCCUAAUACUGACGCUGAGGUACGAAAGCAUGGGGAGCAAACAGGAUUAGAUACCCUGGUAGUCCAUGCCGUAAACGAUGUCUACUAGCCGUUGGGGCCUUUGAGGCUUUAGUGGCGCAGCUAACGCGAUAAGUAGACCGCCUGGGGAGUACGGUCGCA
rnacentral:rRNA from 1 species